ensembl:lncRNA
UUCACUUACACAUUUCUCAUUACAUAUCAAAACAACAUUCUUUGUUGUUAUAUUUGACAACUAUGGAUGGGAGUAGCAUGUUUUGAGUAAAUAAACCCCUCAUACUGGAUCUACAGAAACCCCUGAUACAAAAUGUUCAGAAUUCAGAAUUCCAUCCAAAUAAGUAUUUCUUACUUAAAUACUUAAAAACACAUUCCGUCUCACCUGAUUAUAUUUGAACAAAAUCAAAAAUCAACAGGUGAAUGCUGGGCGGCUAACAUGCUAAAUGGUGACAUGCUAACGGGGCGGUGAGCAGCUUUCUGCGGCUCUGACUGCGCGAGAGGCGGGAGCAGCGAGCAACAUCGAUACCUGAUGACGAGUGUGAAAGAACCACCGGAGAAGCUGAUCUGUGCAAAGUGAAUCCAGACAGGCCUGCCGUUGUAGUUCACCCAGCGGCCACCGCGAGGCAGUCUAGCCACACUCUUGACCUCGGCAGACUGUUUAAUCCAGAAGGCUGUUGCAACUCAUGCUGACCAGCCGCGCCUCAAGGGUUCCCUCUCCUCCUCCUCCUGCUGCUGUCGCCUCCUUUUGAAAAGCAGGUGUGAGAGUGUGAGUGGACUGGACGGCCCUUUUGGGGGGACAGGCACUGACCCCAAACCGGGAGUCUCCUGGACCGCUCAGCCCUCAUCAAAUACUCCUCCUGAUCCCUGAAACGAACCGUUUGUGGAAUCCAUCUCCGGGACCACAUAAGCCAACCAUCAGCUGGGGUGGUCCACGCCGCAGGAAGAGCAGCUCUCAGUUCCCACAGGAUGCGUCUUGCAACAUUGAGCUUUGGAUCCAGACCUUCGAAAACAACCAACUAUGGAAAAAAAAAAUCAUCUCACAGAGUUCUGUUUGUCUUUGUGAAAAAUGACCUUUUAAAAAACGGUCGAUUAGCUGCGCUCGAGUAAUUGACGGCCCAUUAUUAUUUGUGUGGGUCACAAACACAAAGAAACACUUACACCUAGUAAAAAAGAACACACUCUGCUCGACAUCAAAUGCUUCUGCUAAAAUGGGGAGGAAGGGGGGUGAGAGCGUGUGAUGCGUAGGCUGUGUUUGCAACCUCUCGGGUCCCGGCUGGUCGGCGCGGGUUCACCCAGCGGUCAACGGUUCUGACGUCUCCGGGUCUUGGGUCUUUUUGAAAAAGAUCCGUGAAGCAGAAUUAAAGUGAUCUUCCUCCGGACGAGGGACCACAAGGGCUUUGGGUCUUUGGAACAGGGAGGGGGAGACAUACAGAGGGGAGGAGAAGGGGUGAGUGAGUGUGUUCCCUUGCCCUGACUAAAUGGCUCGCCUUCUGUGCGGCCCGUCCCUGGUUUGAGGGCAGCAAAGAGGAACCUGAAGCUGGCAUGUAGAAAACACACUGUAUACGCGGUGAAAUGUGUUCAGCAUGUUCUUUUUAUUAGUAUUAUAUUUCACGAUUUUCCCCUCUUAUAAACCUUGAUGAGAAAUGGAAAAAAGAACGUGAUUAGCAUGGAAAUAAUGUGCUUGAGAUGAAAGAAAAUUAAGCUUGUUGAAGUGAAUGUCUGUCAGGGAAACGGUUAUUUUGUUUUUGCCUUCAAUUCCUGGAGCCAUUGCCUCCCCUCCAGACACUUUUAUAAUGUUAGAAUAAUAAAAGUUUUUAAAGACCUGUUAUGAAACACCAUCCUGCAAACAGAUUUCCUCAGUAAUUUUCCUCAAUAUUGCUCAGAUCUCAUUGCUAUUCAUCAGCGGACGAAUUACAGGUUUACAAAUACAGCAUCUACUGUCUCC